rnacentral:tRNA from 1 species
AGGGCUGUAGUUAAUUAUAAUAUACGAUUUGCAUUUGUAAGGUGCUCUAGAGCCAGUCUUA